ensembl:snoRNA SNORD14 Small nucleolar RNA SNORD14
UCAUUGUGAUGAUGGAUUCCAAAACAUUUGAAAUUUCCAUCCGAAAGACUUUUUCUCAUGUUGGCCAGUUUUUCUUUGGAUGUCUGAAAAA